rnacentral:snRNA from 1 species
UUGCUCACUUUGGUAGCACGUAUACUAAAAUUGAAAUGAUACAGAGAAGAUUAGCAUGGCCUCUGUGCAAGGAUGACAUGCAAAUUUGUGAAGCAUUUCAUAUUUUA